rnacentral:rRNA from 1 species
AUGAGCUUAUCUGCCAUUGGGAUAAUUAGUGCCCUCAAUGAAUGUGUCACUUUGUUUCAGUGGGCCAAAUCUGCCAUUUCAUCUUUGCACUCCCGAUGGAGUGGCUCACAGGAGCAAAAUCUUCAGGAUCGUGUAUUGCAGUUGGAGAGUGGCCUGCAAUGUCUCAGGGAUACUCUUCCUGCAAUGUACAGCCUCAUUAAUAAAGCAGAGUGGAGAAGCCACGACGACGGUGUGGCCAGUCUCCUUCCUAAUCUCAAGGAUGCAGUGUCUGAGGCCGAGGACCUUCUUGAUGAAUUCAGAUGGUACGAGAAGAAGGUGCAAAUGGAGGGCAAUGCAAGCCAAUUUCCUUUCAUUGACUUCUUUGAUACCGUCAUCCAAGGCAGCUUCAACAAACUGAAUGAUGUCCAGUUGAGGUUGAACCAUCUUUCGAGAACGAUUGACACUAUGGGGCUUCAUGGAGUUACACAUCGCUUUGACAAAUUAGUCAGGCCAGAGACCACUUCUUUGCCAAAUGAAACAAAAAUGUUUGGUCGUGACAAGGAGCUGAAGCAGGUAUUGGGUUUUCUCAAUGUACCUGCAAAUUCAAAACGCAGGAGAGCAACUAGUUCAGUCAGUGCAUCAACCAGCGCACCAGUGAGCAACCAAGUUAGUACUGGAUCAAGAAUAUAUGGUCUCCCUGUUUUGCCAAUAGUUGGAAUUGGUGGUGUUGGAAAAUCUACUUUGGCCCAACAUAUCUGCAACCAUCAACGAGUGAAGUCUCACUUUGAGCUGAUAAUUUGGAUUUGCGUCUCGGAUGACUUUGACGUGAAGAGGUUAAUUAAAGAAGUUAUACAAUCUUGUACUGGAAAGGAGGUAACAACUGAUAAUUUGGAUUUUCUUUAA